CUUCUGGGAUCCAGCGCGCCGUUUCACCGUGUGCGUAUUUCUAAGUUUUCUAUUUUUAUAUCUUUUCGAACAACGAAUCAACUUAUCGAGGUACACUGUUGGACUUCAUUUGACAUGCCUCUCGGUUGUGUCGUCAAACCGAUAUUUCUCUGCGCGCAUUCAGUUCCAUACGAUACUGCGCGUUCAACCGCAGCGGCAGCUAUGGCUUGACAGUAUUGGAGGGUGUCCUGACAGCGCCGGGGAGAAGUGCAGAUUUUGCCAAUCACAUUCGAAGAAUGCAGACUAUGAGAGGGACCCGUCAGUUGAGCAACAACUGGGUUUGAGAACGAAAAACAUCCUCCCAGAGCAGUCCGCAGUGCCUUCCUUGAAUCUAUCUUCCAAGACGGUUGCAUCUAGACGUGGCAAGAGUGAUGACUUCAUGGAUGUGGAAGGAACAGCAGAGGAAGACAUCUGGCAAUGGUCAUGACAGUUCUCUGUCAGGAAUCAAUAGGUGGUGAGCAUGCGUAAGCACUUGACACAUCUCAAUACAAGUUAGACCUGCCAGUUGCACAAGAGGUGUCUCUCUUCUUACACACAAGGUUCUGCAGGUUUUGUACCUGCGAGCUCCUGCAAAUGUGCUCUGCGGUGAUCAUGCUGGACAGAGAGCUAUACCUGUAUAAUAACUGUGACUAAUGUUCUCCUGCCCAUGAAACGUGACUGUCACUGAGCAAGCAGAGGGCAGCAUACAAGGGGUUGCUGAAGAGAGCUCAACAUGCUGGGAUAGGACAACAAGAUAGGACAACCCUUCAGAAAAAUCCUGGGUACGCGUCUGCGCACAGUCUCUGUCUGCAAGUGCAUCUGUUCCUGUUCCCUGCAACGUGUUGCUCCUGUGAAGGACCCUUGCAGAUCCAAAUUUUCCUCGGAGGAUGUCCCAAAGCCUUUGAG